UUUUUUAGCCCUAAAAUAAAGUUUUUGUAUUAAUAGAAAUUGGAUUCAAUACAGUUGAACACAAGUGUCCUUGAAAGAAAUAGCAACACCAAUUGGAUUUUUUUAUGAAAAAUCACAAACAAACAUAACCUAAAUUCUGUAAUGCAUACCCAAUUAAAGUUGCAAGUAACCUAAUUAUUCUUUGAAGUCUUAAUCCAAGGAUAAAAACCAAGACCCACAAUAAUAAUUAAUUAAUUCACCCUCCUACAAUUCUUUCUGAUCUCUCCUUUUGAUCCAGUAAGUGGGCUGAUAUCUCCCAUCUUGAUCAUGCCAGUAACAAAAUCAGAGAAGAAGGUGCUUUGGCCAUUGCUGUAGGUGCGAACUGUGGAAUCAGUGGAUCCACCAUUGAACAAUUGCUGAUCAGAAUGAAGGAGGCCCUUCCGGGUAAGCAAGUUCUUGAAGUAGUUAUUGUCAAAAGUCGUAGGAGUCUGCAAAUCAAGUGGUGCCAAGUUGUUGUCCCCUGUCCCAUUGGUACUUGGGCAGUUUGAUCUCCUUGUCUGAGCAAAGGAUCUGUCUAUGUUUGUCUCAUUGUAUAUUCUAGUCCUGAACGAUGUGCACCUUGCUAGUCCAAUUGUGUGCGCUCCAGAUAAUGCAACCAAGUCUCUGGUUGAAAGGCCAAGGGCAUUGAAUCUUGAGAUGAGUUGGUUCAAGUUAGAAGUGGGAGGUGGAAUGCCAUUAUUGGCAGCAGAGCGGCUUGCAGUUCUAGCAUCUCUUCUUCCAAGUUUAACAUUCCAAUUUGGACCUCCAAGCUAAUUAAUUAAUUAACAAAAGAAAACCCCAUCAUUAAUUCAUUAAUUGCUACUUGAAACUGUCUAUAAAACAGAUAGACAAUUGUCAUCAAAAGCAAAACUUACAAUAACAGUGGAGUCUCUAGCAGCAACGGCUAAGACAUCAGCACAUGAGACCACUCCAGGGCAAGCCUUCUCAACUGCAGAUUUUAUGUUGUCUAUCACCUCAAAUCCUCUGGCUGAAUUACGAUUUGGAAUUGCCGUUUUCUCUCCGGUGAAGGAAGAUGUGUCAUCAAGUAGAAUUGAUCCAUCACAUCCAUUAACAAAGCAAUCGUGGAAGAACAAGCGAACGAUGGAUGCACCCUGUCGUUUCUCUUUAUUAAUGGCAGAUUGAACAACAGGUUUCACAACAGAAAAGAGGUUAGGGCAAGACUUGGAGUAGAAAUUUGUUGAAAGUUGAGCUUUGGUAGUGGUGAUCUCGAUGGAAGCCAAAGAGAUGAAGAUAAGGAGACAAGAAGUCACAGUAGGAGCCUUGAAAACUGAAGAAAAAGCCAUGGAUAUGUGGAACAACACAAACCCAACUUCACUGAGAAUUUAGUAGUACUUAGUACUGUUUCAUAUAUCCAUGGC
rnacentral:misc_RNA from 1 species